UUUGGGUUACUUAAACCUUAUAGGCGUAAUGAAAGUAAAAGAAAUUUUAUUCUCUGAAGGAGGAUAAGUAGUUUGUUUUAAAUAACACUACUUCGCACUCCUGGGGCGCUUUCUACUCAAUGCGAGUUGAGGCGCACCUAUAGCGUACAUAAUAAUACCCGAAAGAUGGUGAACUAUGCCUGGCCAGGACGAAGCCAGGGGAAACCCUGGUGGAGGUCCGAAGCGAUUCUGACGUGCAAAUCGAUCGUCGGAGCUGGGUAUAGGGGCGAAAGACCAAUCGAACCAUUUAGUAGCUGGUUCCCUCUGAAGUUUCCCUCAGGAUAGCUAACGCUUCUGUAUAAAGACGAGUCUCAUCCGGUAGAGCGAAUGAUUAGAGGUAUUGGGGUCGAAACGGCCUCAACCUAUUCUCAAACUCCAAAUAGAUGAGAACCUCGGCUUGCUUAAAAGUGAAGCCGUAGGAGUCUUGAACGGAUCAGAGUGUUAAGUGGGCCAUUUUUGG
rnacentral:rRNA from 1 species